CCCCCCAUAGCUUAACGGUAAAGCACCCGCCUCUUAAGCGGUGAGUUCUAGGUUCAAAUCCUAGUGGGGGGA
rnacentral:tRNA from 1 species